AUCCAGUUGACGAGUCCCAAGUAGGACGUAACGCGUGUCCUGGAU
rfam:Schistosoma mansoni strain Puerto Rico chromosome 1, complete genome